rnacentral:rRNA from 1 species
UACGUAGGGUGCGAGCGUUGUCCGGAAUUAUUGGGCGUAAAGGGCUCGUAGGCGGUCUGUCGCGUCGGGAGUGAAAACUCAGGGCUUAACCCUGAGCCUGCUUCCGAUACGGGCAGACUAGAGGUAUGCAGGGGAGACGAAUUCUGGUGUAGCGGUGGAAUGCGCAGAUAUCAGGAGGAACACCGAUGGCGAAGGCAGGUCACUGGGCCGCAACUGACGCUGAGGAGCGAAAGCCAGGGGAGCAAACGGG